rnacentral:rRNA from 1 species
GACGAACGCUGGAGGCGUGCUUAACACAUGCAAGUCGAACGAAGUGGCGAACGGGUGAGUAACGCGUAAUCAACCUGCCCUUCAGAGGGGGACAACAGUUUGAAACGACUGCUCAUACCGCAUACUGUAGGAGGGGAUUGCGUCGGUUUGGAUAGUUGGAGGGGUAACGGCCCACCAAGGCGAUGAUCAGUAGCCGGUCUGAGAGGAUGAACGGCCACAAUGGGACUGAGACACGGCCCAGACCCCUACGGGAGGAAGCAGUGGGGAAUCUUCCGCAAUGGACGAAAGUCUGACGGAGCAACGCCGCGUGAGUGAUGACGGCCUUCGGGUUGUAAAGCUCUGUUAAUCGGGACGCGGUACCGGAAUAGAAAGCCACGGCUAACUACGUGCCAGCAGCCGCGGUAAUUC